CCCAAUCAUCUCCACCAGCUUCAUCGCACUUGCCUCACCUCGUGGUCGUCGCCUCGCACGCUGUCGCCUCCUCCAUAUCGCAGCGCCAUCGGCAGCGUCCUCUGAGCCGAUCCUCCUCCCCCGUUGGCCGUGAAGAAGGGCACAAUGUUGUGCCCAUGGUGGAGGCGGCGGAUUCGUUGCCGGCGGGGAACGCACGACAACAACAAACAUCAGCACUAGGGCGAGCUAGGGCGACCGCCCUAGGUUCCUGUGGGCGAGCUCCACAUCAUAUCGCAGUUUGCUCAAGUCCGGCGAGGGCUAAUGGCAGCACGGCGGCGCCCUCGGCGAGAAGGACAACGACAUCGGCCAGGCUUGAGAUUGGGGGCGACUGGGUGAGCGUGGGCCUCGUGGGCCGCCUGGCCUGGUGGUUCCUCCGGCCCAGCGCCACGCGCAGGGUCUUCUUCCUGCCCAAACGCCAUCCACCCAGCAUGGAGUCGCCGGCGCCGUCGGCCGUCCUACCCCCGCGUCGUGGAACCCCGCCUCCCCUCUCCCCCUCCACCGCUCGGGCCCUCGGCAGUCGACCGUCGGCAGAUCUCGCGAGCUCGGCGUCGCCCGCCGCCGAGGGGACCUGUAGGGCAGCAGGGCUGCAGCCCGCCUCUAGCCUCCACCGACCGCAGCCUCGGCCCUGGGUACCCGCCGGCCGCGCCGGCCGCCGCCUCGGCCCUGGGUACCCUCCGGCCGCCGCCGCGGGCACCUACAGGCCUCCUCGCCCCUGACCCCCGUGCUCCGCCCUAGGUCUUUUUGUGACUUGGCUUCGCCACUUACCAUGGAGGUGGGUGGAUAAAGGAGCUGCAAGGGGCUCCAUCAACGCAUGGAGGUCAGCUCACAGUCCCUCGCUCGGAUAGUCGGAUGCAAGCCUGUGCCUCUUCCUCUCGCUCAUAUGUUGGUCCCGUUCGCCAUCCUGCCUGCGCAACGCCGCAACCUUGGACGGCCGCCUCUCCUCUUUAUCCUCCUGCAGCGACGGCCUCGCAUCUAUCUUAAUCAAGGUGCUUCGCUGCCGGAUGCAGGCUCUCAGUCUUCCUCGAGUGCGUCGUCGCCAUCAUCAGUUGCGCAGGUGACGAGUCCAUAUCAGCACUACAUGUAUACUUCUCUCUGUUGAUUGCAACUAAUCUUUGUUUCUAUCUUUGGUAAGUUGGAUAAUCACUAGCCAUUUUAUUUUGCAGUUACCUUCUGAUGAAUCUAAAAAUACUAAAACAAAAUGCAUCUUUGGCAUUAGGGGAGUUGCAAUGUUUUUACUGUGCUACUCUAAUUCCAGUUCGUUCCACUACAUUGGAUUUAGCCUAUAGCAUGUAAGUAAACCUUCUAACCUCUUUGACUUACAGAUUAUAACAUAUCUGAUCACUUUAAGCUGUUGUAUGUUGGAGGAACCUGAGAGUAUUCCUGCUAGGUCUGAAAAGAGAAAAUUUACUAAUAACCUGCAAGGGGAUUAUUUAGCAAUUACAUACACAUGAAACGAUCUACCAUGGUAUCUUCUUUAUCUGAAUUUUGAAGGCAAAUACCUUACAUUAAGAUUGAAGAUGUACUGAAAUUGGUACUGGAUACGUACAUGUAAUUUCAACAUGCUCUCAUUUAUUCAAUUUAUCAGACUUUUUUUUUAAUGUAGCUCAUGGCUUGAGGGCGCUCUGUUUCCUUCCGUACACAUAGGCCUCAAAGUUUUCUUGUUUUGUGAUGAAAAAAGUCCGGCAUUGACAAUAUUAUGUUAGUGGUAAGGAAAGUAAACUGGCAAGCAAGAGUGAUACGAUUGAUGUGAAAAAGUUGGUACGAAAUUUUUUUAUUAUAUUUCCUCCCUGCCUCUUAAUUGUACAUAAAAGAAAAAAAUAUAUCCAUUUUGCUUUGUGUCUAUUUCUUUUAGGGAACCUCUAAGGUGUUUCCCCUCAACCCAUGUUAUGUACUCCUAUGGUGUUACAGUACAUGUUUAAUUACCUUCGAUGAUGAUAAAUUAGCUAUUUGUGAUCUUAACUGACUAAGAAUCAUGUGAUCACUAUGUUCCACUAAUAUUUAUUCUUAUUGCACUUCCUAUCUUUUGUUUUAUGCUGUUAGUAUGUUUAUUUUGAUUUCUCUAUUUUCCAGGUGUCUUCUAUUCCUGUGUCUUCUAUUCCUGGCAAAGGUUAAUGCUUCGCUAGAGAGAUUAGUUGUCUGGAUGUCCUUGCGGGCCUUCAACAUUAGUUAGAGCCUAUCGAUUUCCAGAGACAUUUUUUCCUUUUCGUCAGCUAAUGUUCUUCUUAACCAGGAUUGCCUUUCUUCAAAUCUCAAGACCUAUUUGCAGUAGUCUAAAUUAUUUUUUAAGGUUAUUCUCAUCAUUUAAUAAACAAUCCAUUGCAAAAAUUGCCAUGAUAUAAAAAAAUAGCUUCGAAUUUAGAAUUUGCAUAAUCUUUUAAAUUAUUCAAUAUCAGUAACCAGUAGCUUAGUCCUCCAGUUCUGUCCAGCAAUAGGGCAAGCUAUUUUGGUAAAAGCUGCAGAUUCAAUUAGUCGUCUUGGUUGCCUUUAAAUUUUACACAAAAUGUUUGUGUUCCAUUUUGCAGAUUUGCUCAUGGGUUGACAAACUGAGCUAGAGGUAUAUGAUCUAUAAUGUUGCAUUCCUGCUUUGGAUUUCUUUGCCAAGCAGUGAUACUAAAUCUGAGCACCUAUUCAGAAAUUCAAACUGACCAUGGACUCUAUGAUAGCCUUGGGUUUUAAUAUUAUGCCCAGUUACAAGGCCAUUUGAAAAUGCAGGAAUUCAGUUUGAAACUCUAAGCCCUGAAAAUGUCACGCUGUAUUUGUUUUUUUUUUUUGUCUAGACUAAAACCUCUAGCCAUGAACUUGGUUAGAUGGGGCUCAAAACAAAUGAAGUGUGACCUUUGGUGCCAUGUGGUGAGGGAAGGAUCCAACAUACAAUGCCGUUAUUUAACUUUUCUCUCUUCUAACAUGCUACUUCCUUGGGUUUCACUGAAUAAUCACCUACACCUGGAUCUGUUGUCUGAUUUCCUCAUACUUUAGCCAACUGAACUAGAGAAUUUCAAAUUCCCUAUGGACUCUGCGAUACCUUCAUUGUUUCUUAUCGUGUCCAGUUAGCAAGCAUUUGAAAAUGAUCAGUUUGCAGUUUUAUAUUACUCCCUGAGAAUCUUAAGCUGUAUUUUGUUUUCCCUUUUGGCUAGACUUCUGUACAUGAACCUGGUUAGCUGGGCUCAACACAAGAUAAGUAUAACCUUUGGUGCCAUAUUAGGGGUGAUGGAAGGAGCCAGUUCCGUAGCUUUCUAUCUUUUAGCAUAGUACUUCCUUCGAUUUCACUGAACACUGACAUAUGUUUGAAUCUUUUGUUUUGGUAAUUUUUUUGUCCAAUUGGGAUUCCAGGUUAUAAAAAGUAUAGUAACCUUGAUCCUCACUCCCUAAGUAAUGUGUGGAGGAGACCUAUGCCUGGAUCACUCACAUGAUCAACAACAUACUACAUGUACAAUCUUCAAUUACCCUUUCUUAUGGACAUUCAGCUGCAUAGGGCCAUUCUAAUAAAUAAUAAUUUGUGUUCUUUGCUAA